CAAAACAACUCUCGGCAAUGGAUAUCUUAGCUCUCGCAUCGAUGAAGAACAUAGAGAAAUGCAAUACUUGGCGUGAAUUGCAGAAUCUCGUGAACCAUCGAGUAUUUGAACACAAGUUGUGCCCGAAGCCUUUAGGUCAAGGGCACGUCUGCCUGGGCGUCACGUA
rnacentral:rRNA from 1 species